rnacentral:rRNA from 1 species
UACGUAGGGUACAAGCAUUAAUCGGAAUUAUUGGGCGUAAAGGGCGCGUAGGCGGGGAUGUAAGUCAGGUGUGAAAUACCAAAGCUCAACUUUGGUGCUGCAUUUGAAACUGCAUUUCUUGAGGACUGACGGAGAAAGCGGAAUUCCAUGAGUAGCGGUGAAAUGCGUAGAUACAUGGAGGAACACCGGUGGCGAUAGCGGCUUUCUAGUUUUUACCUGACGCUGAGGCGCGAGAGCAAGGGGAGCAAACAGG